GAUGAACGCUGGCGGCGUGCCUAAUACAUGCAAGUCGAGCGAACAGACGAGGAGCUUGCUCCUCUGCCGUUAGCGGCGGACGGGUGAGUAACACGUGGAUAACCUACCUAUAAGACUGGGAUAACUUCGGGAAACCGGAGCUAAUACCGGAUAAUAUAUUGAACCGCAUGGUUCAAUAGUGAAAGACGGUUUUGCUGUCACUUAUAGAUGGAUCCGCGCCGCAUUAGCUAGUUGGUAAGGUAACGGCUUACCAAGGCAACGAUGCGUAGCCGACCUGAGAGGGUGAUCAGCCACACUGGAACUGAGACACGGUCCAGACUCCUACGGGAGGCAGCAGUAGGGAAUCUUCCGCAAUGGGCGAAAGCCUGACGGAGCAACGCCGCGUGAGUGAUGAAGGUCUUCGGAUCGUAAAACUCUGUUAUUAGGGAAGAACAAAUGUGUAAGUAACUAUGCACGUCUUGACGGUACCUAAUCAGAAAGCCACGGCUAACUACGUG
rnacentral:rRNA from 1 species